GGGUUCGGUUACAUGGUAACCGGAGGAAAUUUGGAUGGUCGGGCCGCUAUCC
rnacentral:ncRNA from 12 species